rnacentral:rRNA from 1 species
GGACCAUCAUGUCGGUCGUGCCUCGGUACGUACAGGCAUUGUUGGUUUCUCCCUUCUGACGAACCUUGAUGUCAUUAAUUUGGUGUUUUGUGGAAUCAGGACUGUUACUUUGUAAAAAUUAGAGUGUUUAAAGCAGGCUCACGCUUGAAUACAUUAGCAUGGAAUAAUGAAAUAGGACGUUUGAUUCUAUUUUGUUGGUUUCUAGGAUCGACGUA